GCCAAAGAGAAAAGUAAUACUCGCGCAAAGUGCGCUUAGCGUAACUAAUAGGAACCUAGUUAUAAGCAGGCACCAUCUGAAGGGAGCAAGCCUCCCUGGCCCCCUCGAGUAGUACCCACCUUGUCGAGGUGAGGGGGCUUGCCGGCUGUCACCAUGAUCAUAUCUGUCCGGGCCGGUAUGAUCAUGGUGACGGGGAUUACUAAGAGGUACUCAGUCGUCCGGGACCUGCAUGAGCGACCGCACACUGUGGGCAGGCGCAUGCAGGCGUCGGUGUGUAAGCAGUUGCUGAAAGGACUUGGCACACCCGAGUACGCUUCUGUUGGAAGCAAGUGUAGUUUUUCUCGGCCCAGAUGUUGGAUUGACUGCUGGGAGUGCUUCGAGCAGUGAAGGGAUGUCAGUGGACUUGCACCCACCCUGGCAUCUUUAGUACCUGCUUCCUCGGGCUUUGGUUUCGGCCUAUGGGGUAGGAGUUGUUGGCUGCAUACUUCAGCUCUGAGAACGCUAUUCAGAUUGUCUUUCCGAUGUCUGGGGUCCCUGCGGUUUCGGGAUUUUAAGAAUUGAGCCGCCGUCUGUCCCACGUGAGGUA
rnacentral:lncRNA from 1 species